GAUGAACGCUAGCGGGAGGCUUAACACAUGCAAGUCGAGGGGCAGCAUAAGAUAGCAAUACUUUGAUGGCGACCGGCGCACGGGUGAGUAACGCGUAUGCAACCUACCCUGUACAGGGGGAUAGCCCGGAGAAAUUCGGAUUAAUACCCCAUAAAGAUACUCAGUGGCAUCACUGGCUAUUUAAAGUUUCGGCGGUACGGGAUGGGCAUGCGUAACAUUAGCUAGUUGGUAGGGUAACGGCCUACCAAGGCGACGAUGUUUAGGGGUCCUGAGAGGGUGAUCCCCCACACUGGUACUGAGACACGGACCAGACUCCUACGGGAGGCAGCAGUGAGGAAUAUUGGUCAAUGGGCGAGAGCCUGAACCAGCCAUCCCGCGUGGAGGAAGACGGCCCUAUGGGUUGUAAACUUCUUUUCCAGGGGAAUAAAACACCGAACGAGUUCGGGACUGAAGGUACCCUGGGAAUAAGCAUCGGCUAACUCCGUGCCAGCAGCCGCCGUAACAC
rnacentral:rRNA from 1 species